AAAGCCCAGGGACAGUAAACCUGCUUUGCUCCAGAAAAACAAGAUCGGUGUGCAGAGCUUUUUCUAAUUCCCUGUAAUACCUUUUCUCCUCCUGAUCCCAAGCACAGGGCACCCCCUGACUGGCACGCAGUUGAGCUCAGCAGAAGCCAGGAAGAGAGAAAAAUAAAAGUCAAUGAAAUGUACUGUGGCUCAGGAGAGCCCUAACUCAUGGGCCAAACUUGACUGUGAGCCAGUGUAGUUAAGAAAGAAUUUGACAGCUCUAAGGUGUUUCCUCCAGAGGAGAAUAACCUUUAAUUUAAGCAUGUCUUUGUUCAUCCCUAAAAGAGACCAUUUGCUGGAAGAGAAUAAGACCAUUGCCUGGCCGUGGCUAUUUUCUCUGCUGCAAUCAGGCAUUUUACAUUUAGGUGCUGGUUUGUAAUGAAGCAAGUUAAGGGCAGAUAUGUGGUCCCCUUCCUGGACACCAUGCUUUAGAGGACCCUGCUCUCUCUUGCCCUCCUCUGGCCAUGCCUUACCCAUAGGCAAGGAAUCUGGGAGCCCAUGAGGCCAACGGCACAUGAGCACCCAAAUUUGCACUGAACAUGUUCUGAUACUUGAGGCCCCAAAAUCUCCUGCCUGAGUACUCAAGGUUUGCCUUGACCCUCUCCACCCGAGGGUGGAUUACACCCACAGUGUGCACACUACAGGCCUAAGGAUGGCUGUUUGCAGUGUGUAAAUGGAACUCAGAGGUGCAGGCUGAGUGGCAUAAUGCAUGCUCAGUGCAACCAGGGCACACACAGAAAAGGAGCUCUGCAGGGCAGGGCUUCCAUUUGUACCCUUGCUUGAGUCCUGAAGAUGUGAGUGGUGGUCUUCAUGAAGAAGUAGAGAUGAGUCAGUGUUCUCCCUCGCCGACUGCUGAGAAAACCAUUCAAAGCACAGCUUGCAGGCCAGUGUUGUCACCUUCACUUGGGACACAUGCACUUUGGCUAUGGCUCUGCCAUUCAGAUCAUUCCAUAUUUAUUAGAACCCUUGGCACUUAACUCAGUUGCCAUCUCCUUCCCCACUUCUGCACCUUCCUGAUGACUUCAGCAUCCUCAUAGAUCACCCAGUCUGGACCUCAGCCUCACAAUGCUUUGACUUACCCGUUCCCAGUGCUUUACACUUUAAUAGACCUGGGUAACUUGUAGCGACAAUCCCAAUCCUGAAAUAUCCAGAAAUCGUCCCCUCACCUCGGAAAUCUUCACCUUCAGAAGCCGACUCCCUCCUCCCUUGCUAUUCUACCAACCUCCUCAACUUUCCUCCUGGAGCAUGCCUUGCCUUUUAGGCUGCCAUGCCUUUGCUUAUGCCAUGUGCCCUGCCUAGGCCCUCCCUGCAUUUGUCUGCUGGAUAUGCCUUCUUUAUCUAUAAAACUCAGCUCAAAUAUCACUUUUCACUGAAUGUCCAUGACUAAGCACUAGGAAGCAGGCACCAUGCUAGGCAGCAGGAUUACAAAAUUAGUAAAGUAUCUUCCUUCCCCCACACAGACCAACUCAGGAAAUAGACAAGUAAACAUAAUUCCAUCUGUGUGGUCAUUUGAACAAGUUACUAUGAGAGCACAGAAGGUUUUACCAAAUUCAGUUUUACCAGGCAGGGCACUGUGCCCAAUGAGAGAGAAGGAUGCCCUGCCUGGAGUUUUACACAUUCAUUUACCUUCUUCAAAACAAUAUAUUCAUUGGAGGCAAAAUGGGAAUAGCCCAUCUGAUUUCUUCUACUGACUGGCAUGCACUCAGACAGAGGUUCAUCUUAGGAAAUAAAGGAGCUAAUAUUAGUUCAGCUCUUAUGAUGUGCCUGUCAAAGAGAAAGUUUCCUCAACCUGCCUAGGGUUGGCAGAGAAAGAUUAAUAGGAGAAAACGUACGAAUUUAUUUGAUCAAAGUUGUACACGUCACAGGAGCUUUAAGAAAUGAAGACCCAAAUAUCAAGGAAAAUUGUCCAUUUGUAUGCUCAGAUUCAGUGAAGAACAGACAGCUGUGUCAAAUUUGAUUGGACAAAAAGGGUAUGGUCUAAUGGUAGCAGGCAGAGGGAGGAAACCCCGCAAGACCUGUCUGUUCACAUUCUUCUUUGCCUCUCUGUGUGGCAGCUCUUUCUCCUGGGUUUAGGGCAGGACUCAUUCUGGAAUGAGGGUCUCAUGAUCAUGUAUCAGACAAGUUAGGUCAGAGAAUUUCUUUAUGGCCAGCCCCUACACAGAAAGGCAGGGGAACGUUAGAGUAAUAUGUCUAGGUUUUAUGGCUGUCUUUAGGGAAGAGCUCUGGUUUCUAUGACCCACCUUGGGGAAAAGGAAUUCUAGUUUCUCUGGUCUGCCUUGGGGAAGAAAGGAGAGCAGGAGAAAGAAAGGUGGGAGAAGGCCAGAAAGACUUUGUUUCUGAAGCUCUUUCAGUUUCCUUCAGUUCAAAGCACUCAUCACACCAAGACACCAUACUGUGGGGUAUCACAUUCUGAGCCCUAACACUUCCAAUAUUAUGCUAUGAAUUUACAUCAUGAUUUCAGGUAAUUAUUCCAACAAUGCCACAAGGUGAGCAUUUGUGUUAUCCAGUUUCACAGAUGCAGAAACUGAAGUGGAAAAAAUUGACUAGCAUUAUAUGGCUGGCAAGUGAUCAAACAGGAUUUUCUCAUUAUUUCAUUCACUCAAUAGUUAUUGAGCUCAUAAUAUAUGCCAGGCAUUAUGUCAGACUUCAUGGAUACAGACAGGUACACAGUAAACAAGGUGGCCACUGCCCAAAUGGAGCUUGCAUUCUGGUGGGGAAGACAGAUAAUAAACAACAAGAAAGAAGCAAUAUAACAGAUUGGGACAGUGCUAUUAAUAUAAGUAAAUGAAGGAGGGAUAUCAUCAGGAGAAUCUGGGAAGGAGUGGAUGCUACCUGAGACAGGAUGGUCAAGGAUCUGCCUAGUUGCAAAGCACUAGACUUUCCACAACCCCUUCUACCCUCCAGUGGGCCUCUGCAGUAUAUAUGGCAACCAAUUCUGGUUUCAUGUAUUCUACCACUUACUCCAACUCUAGUAAAUAUCUGCAAAGCUUACCAUUGCCUACGACUCUCAGAUUAUUUCCCCAAGAUGCUGCAGAAUCCUUAUAAUGUUUCUCAGCCUCAAUAGAAUGAAAAGCAGGUCUGUGCUUAUAUCACUUAAUGACCAAAGAGGAAGGAAAUUUACAAUUAAAGUGUACUUUGCCAACUGUGGAUGAAUUAGUUAGGUCACUGUGAUCUACAGGUUAGAUGUCUGUUCAGCAGUGUCCUCUACUUGAGAUUCCAAGGAGGUUGAAGCUCACUACUCGCCACCCCUCGCACCCCCCUCCGUUCUCUUCUUUCCCUUACCUGCUUCCUCACACUGAUUCAAAAUCUCCCCCAUGGCCCGGGCACGGUGGCUCACACCUGUAAUCCCAGCACUUUGG
rnacentral:lncRNA from 10 species